GACAGAGGGCGCAAACGUUGCUCGGAAUCACUGGGCGUAAAGGGCGUGUAGGCGGCAUGGAAAGUCAGAUGUGAAAUCCCUGGGCUCAACCCAGGAACUGCAUUUGAAACUCCCUUUCUUGAGUACCGGAGAGGAAGGUGGAAUACCUGGUGUAGAGGUGAAAUUCGUAGAUAUCAGGUGGAACACCAGUGGCGAAGGCGGCCUUCUGGACGGUAACUGACGCUGAGACGCGAAAGCGUGGGGAGCAAACAGG
rnacentral:rRNA from 1 species